rnacentral:rRNA from 1 species
ACAGCCCCUAUGAAACAGGACACAACCUUACCAGGAGGUUAAAGACCACACACACUAAAACAACUGCUCCGGUGGGCCUAAAAGCAGCCACCCGUAUAGAAAGCGUUAAAGCCCAGGCAGAAAAAAGUUCAUUAUUCAGGUAUUUUAUCCAAAACCCCUAACCAUACUAGGCCCCUCCAUGCUAACAUGGAAGAGACCCUGCUAAAAUGAGUAACAAGAAGAAAACUUCUUCUCCCGACCCAAGUGUCAGCUAGAUCGGACCAACCACUAGCAAUUAACGAACCCAACCAAAGAGGGCACUGUGACCUUAACAAAAAACAAGAAAACCCCACAUACAAAUAAUCGUUAACCCCACACUGGAGCGCCAUAAGGAAAGACUAAAAGAAAAGAAAGGAACUCGGCAAACACAAGCCUCGCCUGUUUACCAAAAACAUCGCCUCCCGCAAAACUCAAUGUAUAGGAGGUCCUGCCUGCCCAGUGACUGUUAGUUCAACGGCCGCGGUAUUUUGACCGUGCAAAGGUAGCGCAAUCACUUGUCUUUUAAAUGAAGACCUGUAUGAAUGGCAAAACGAGGGCUUAACUGUCUCCCUUUUCCAGUCAGUGAAAUUGAUCUACCCGUGCAGAAGCGGGUAUAAAAAUACAAGACGAGAAGACCCUUUGGAGCUUAAGACCUAAACCACCUAUGUUAAUAAACUUAAUAAACUAGCUUAAACUAAAUAGCACUGGCCCAAGUCUUCGGUUGGGGUGACCGCGGGGGAAAACAAAGCCCCCACGUGGAAUGGGAAUUAUCCCCUAAAACUAAGAGAGACAUCUCUAAGCCGCAGAACAUCUGACCAAAAAGAUCCGGCUACCCAAAGCCGAUUAACGAACCAAGUUACCCUAGGGAUAACAGCGCAAUCCCCUCCCAGAGUCCCUAUCGACGAGGGGGUUUACGACCUCGAUGUUGGAUCAGGACAUCCUAAUGGUGCAGCCGCUAUUAAGGGUUCGUUUGUUCAACGAUUAAAGUCCUACGUGAUCUGAGUUCAGACCGGAGAAAUCCAGGUCAGUUUCUAUCUGUAACGACAUCUCUCCUAGUACGAAAGGGCCGGAGAGAUGGGGCCAAUACUACAAGCACGCCCUACCCCAACCUAAUGAACCCAACUAAACUAGGUAAAGAGCGAACAACACACAACCCAAGAUAAGAGUU